CUAGCAGAGAGCACCCAAGAAUGCCCCAUGUUUGUCCAAGAACUCAGUAAGCAAAGCCCACCCUGCCAGAAAUGAAGUUUAUAGGCACAGCACAGCCCAGUGUGCAGGGACAGCUUGCUCAACAGGAUGAUCAUGAUGUCAGGUUUGGAGGUGGCCAUCGCCCAUGUUGCUGGACCUGCAGUGUACAGGAUGCAUGAUGGGAAAACGCAACGUGAGCGGCUGCGUGGCGCAGUGCAGGUAACACUGAGGUCUGAAGCGAAUACAGAGCAGUGAAGGCAGCAGCUCACAGCAAUGCAUGGACACAGCACGCCUGUCGGCUCGGACUAGUAAAGAUAGAAAAGGCAUUACCGGAGGAAAGACCUUGCCAAAGAAACAGUUGUUUAUUCACUUUCUCUAAGCGAUACGACAGCAAUAAAACAUCCCAAUUUAACAAGUGAACACGGCGCUCCUGACUCGGGGCUGCUUUAUGGUACGAAGCAGCAGUGGGGCUGAGGCUGCCUCCGGGUUGGGGUUCUCACUCCGAGUGCCCCCACACACAGCUGACCAGGCGUCCCCCAG